GGGGCGGUCUCCUCCUAAAGAGUAACGGAGGAGCACGAAGGUUGGCUAAUCCUGGUCGGACAUCAGGAGGUUAGUGCAAUGGCAUAAGCCAGCUUGACUGCGAGCGUGACGGCGCGAGCAGGUGCGAAAGCAGGUCAUAGUGAUCCGGUGGUUCUGAAUGGAAGGGCCAUCGCUCAACGGAUAAAAGGUACUCCGGGGAUAACAGGCUGAUACCGCCCAAGAGUUCAUAUCGACGGCGGUGUUUGGCACCUCGAUGUCGGCUCAUCACAUCCUGGGGCUGAAGUAGGUCCCAAGGGUAUGGCUGUUCGCCAUUUAAAGUGGUACGCGAGCUGGGUUUAGAACGUCGUGAGACAGUUCGGUCCCUAUCUGCCGUGGGCGCUGGAGAAUUGAGGGGGGCUGCUCCUAGUACGAGAGGACCGGAGUGGACGCAUCACUGGUGUUCGGGUUGUCAUGCCAAUGGCACUGCCCGGUAGCUAAAUGCGGAAGAGAUAAGUGCUGAAAGCAUCUAAGCACGAAACUUGCCCCGAGAUGAGUUCUCCCUGACUCCUUGAGAGUCCUGAAGGAACGUUGAAGACGACGACGUUGAUAGGCCGGGUGUGUAAGCGCAGCGAUGCGUUGAGCUAACCGGUACUAAUGAACCGUGAGGCUUAACCUU
rnacentral:rRNA from 1 species